rnacentral:rRNA from 1 species
GAUGAACGCUGGCGGCGUGCCUAAUACAUGCAAGUCGAGCGAACAGACGAGGAGCUUGCUCCUCUGACGUUAGCGGCGGAAGGGUGAGUAACACGUGGAUAACCUACCUAUAAGACUGGGAUAACUUCGGGAAACCGGAGCUAAUACCGGAUAAUAUAUUGAACCGCAUGGUUCAAUAGUGAAAGACGGUUUUGCUGUCACUUAUAGAUGGAUCCGUGCCGCAUUAGCUAGUUGGUAAGGUAACGGCUUACCAAGGCAACGAUGCGUAGCCGACCUGAGAGGGUGAUCGGCCAGACUGGAACUGAGACACGGUCCAGACUCCUACGGGAGGCAGCAGUAGGGAAUCUUCCGCAAUGGACGAAAGCUUGACGGAGCAACGCCGCGUGAGUGAUGAAGGUCUUCGGAUCGUAAAACUCUGUUAUUAGGGAAGAACAAAUGUGUAAGUAACUAUGCACGUCUUGACGGUACCUAAUCAGAAAGCCACGGCUAACUACGUG